rnacentral:rRNA from 1 species
AACGAACGCUGGCGGCAGGCCUAACACAUGCAAGUCGAACGCAUCGCAAGAUGAGUGGCGCACGGGUGAGUAACACGUGGGAAUGUGCCCUUUGGUUCGGAAUAACGUCUGGAAACGGACGCUAAUACCGGAUGUCCCCUGCGGGGGAAAGAUUUAUCGCCAAAGGAGCAGCCCGCGUCUGAUUAGGUGGUUGGUGGGGUUAAGGCCUACCAAGCCGACGAUCAGUAGCCGGUCUGAGAGGAUGAUCAGCCACACUGGGACUGAGACACGGCCCAGGCUCCUACGGGAGGCAGCAGUGGGGAAUAUUGGACAAUGGGCGCAAGCCUGAUCCGGCCAUGCCGCGUGAGUGAUGAAGGCCUUCGGGUUGUAAAGCUCUUUCGCACACGACGAUGAUGACGGUAGUGUGAGAAGAAGCCCCGGCUAACUUCGUGCCAGCCGCCGCCGGAAUAC